UUCAUGUCGGUGAGCUGUUUGUGGUUCUUGUUUUGUUCAUUUAUUUGUUAAACUUAUUCACUCCCUGAACUUGCAUCCUGACUCUCAGUGUACAUCGUUACAGUAUUUUACUGGGUGACUUUCAUUUUUACUUGUCAUUUUCUAUUAAGGUAUCUUUACUUUUACUCAAGUAUGACAAUUGUGUACUUUUUCCACCACUGGUCACUGGAACCUCGAAGACCCUGAAUAUAAGUGCAAGAUGUGUUUUUUUUUGUAUAUAUAUUUCAAUUUUUCGAUUUUUAAUUCGAUUAUACCUUCCGGUAACCUGCCCCAAUGUAUUUUUAAUUUUAGAACACAUUCAAGAACCUCCAGAAGGUAACCAGCUAAUUAGCUAUUCGGUCAUUGUUAGCCACUAUUCGGUCUGUGAGCCACUGCUAUCGGCUUUUACCUUCUGCACAGAUACCAGUCCUGUUCUUAGCCUGGAUAAUACGUGCCAGUCUACCAGUAUUGGACUGUCUCUACACAACAACACCGGAUUCCUGCCGUAAUCUCUGGACCACUACUUCUGAUCUUCACAGCUAGCUUACAGCUAGCUAGCUCACUGUGGUACCCUGUACCGACGCUGUCCCUGAGGCCCACCUCCUGGCCUACUCCGCUGUUCACCUGCAGCGGUGAUCCGGCUAGAGCCCAAUACUCCACCGGAUCCUUGCUGUAAACUCUGGACCUUGGCACCGGAUCACCGCUGCUACCGAUUGGCUAUAGUGGCUAACGCCACUGCCACAAAGCAAGCACCAGUUACCUGUGAGCCAGGCGCAUCUCCCGGUCCUGGCUUAGAUUCUCUGUCGACACGGCGCACCACCACGACUGGUCUGCCAACGAAUACUCCAUCCGCUGUAACUUCAACCGGCCUCCGUCGGAGGGCUACUAACUUUAAACGCCUUGUCGCCUGCUAGCGUAGUGGCGGGUUCUCUGUUCCAUCUACUGCUGCCACCUGGACACUAUGAUCACUUGGCUACAUAGCUGAUGCCUGCUGGACUGUCCAUUAAUCACGGUACUCCAUUCUGUUGUUUUUUUAUCUGUCGGCCCCAGCCACAAACUCAGGCUCUGUGUGUAGUUAAUCCGACCCUCUCUGCCUAGUCAUUGCCAUUUUACCUGCUGUUGUGUUAGCUGAUUAGCUGUUGUCUCACCUGUUUUAGCUAGCUCUCCCAAUCAACACCUGCGAUUACUUUAUGCCUUGCUGUAUGCCUCUCUCAAAUGUCAAUAUGCCUUGUAUACUGUUCAGGGGCCUGUUGCACAAAAGUAGAAUUAAGACAUCCGGGAUAAAUGACUCAGCUGAGCUCAAUGAAGCCAAAACAUGUGCGUCCAGGCUUAAUUGGUUGCACAAAGACCAAGCCAGGAUGAGCAGACACGGAUUCAUUAAGCCAGGUGAAACCAAUCCUGGAUAGGUGCGCGCUCACGGCUCACUCAAAUAGACCCCGCCACAGAUCACAGAUUAACUGAUUUACCAUGGCAACUAGAGCCGCGUACUUUUCCCCGUCGGAAGCACAAAUCCUCAUGGAGGCAUACGAGGAGGUAAAAGAUAUAAUUAAGAAGAAAGGCAACACCGCCACAGUGAUAAAGCAAAGAGAAAAAGCGUGGCAAAGUAUUGCAGACCGCCUGAAUGCGUAAGUAGUGCACAAUUACACACUCACCGCUCCGCUGAAACAUCACAAUUACAAUUCAAAUAUUUAAUUCACAUCUCCAAAAAUGCAGUUGUACUGUAAUUAUGAAACUGUUAAAUUUUUAAUUGAAAUGCACUGCAGAUAUGAGUGAAAUUGUGUAAAGUAACUCCAUCACACUGUAUAAAGCUAUGAUAAAUUUUUUUAUAUUUUUACUGAAAACAAGACAAAAAUACCAAGUAAUUUUUUGCAGUGUGACUCCAUUAAAUGUGUGUGUGUGUAGAUUAAACAUGAACGGGCCAAAACGGACAUGGCAGCAGGUCAAAAUCAAAUACAAGAACAUUCUGCAGAAUGGUAUGGUCCCUGACUAAUAUUUAACAAAGCACAAGCAUAUAUUGUACCCAGAAGGUGCCUGCUCACACAUUGUCUGUACUGUUUUAGCAGUGAAAAAGAAUACCCACAGACAAGGCACGGGUGGUGGGUCACCAAAGGCUGACCUUACCCCAGCAGAGGACAUGGCCUUGGAGCUAUAUAAAGGCAGGCCCGUCUUAGAGGGGAUCCCUGGGGGGAAAGAGACGAGCAUAGGUUCCUCCCAAGAUGCCACCCGCUUCAUUCAAGUGCCUGGCAGCACUGUGUUCCUGUUAGAGCCACCAGCACAAGCACCAGACGAUGCUGAUCCAGGUGAAGGCCCCAGUGCAGCAGCAACGGCACAUGAUGGAGACGAUGAUGAGGAGACCAUCUCUCUGGAUUCCAGAAGGCAUAAGGGAAUCAUGUUAAGACUGUGAAAGUACUAUUUACUCUACAAUGGUGAGGAGUCCUCAUCAAAAUCAAAAAAUCUAUUUUCUUUUACAGGACCCAGAUGCUAUACAGUGGGAAAACCAGCCUGGCAACAUAGUGCGUAUUAAUAAAAGGACACCACAUCCUGUCAAAUUCCAGCUGCGCUAAUUGUAUUGUGUUCAGAGCUCACAAGCUAUCAGAAAGUUGUAUGGCAACCACCUCCGGCGCCAAAUAGAACUGGCAGACAUAGACAUUCAGUACAAGAAGAAAAAGAUGGAAAAUCUUGCACUGGAGUCCGAAAUAAAAAAGAGGACAAUUAGGAAACUGGACCUUGAAAUAAAAAAACUUGAGAGGGAGCUCCAAGAAGAUGACACAGCUCAAAAUAAAAAUUAGGUAUUUUUUAUUUUCCCAGCAAUCAGUACAACCAAGUCAUCGUUAUAAGGCAUCGCCCUCUUUUGCCCACCCCCCCAGCACCAGGUGUGGCCACUAGCCUAUAUGAAGGCCCAAAAUUGUGUGUUCCUUUCUGCUCUGACAAUGGCAUGCCCAUUUGUGCGAGAUGUGGUGGAUGAAGAAGCACUUGUGCUGAGGAGAGCCUUCAGGCGAGAAAGGGUCUUCAGGGACCGGUUGGACCCACUGGCCUUCCCUGAUGACCAUCUAUAUGAAAGAUACAGGUUUUCUGCAGAUGGCAUCAGGUAUCUAUGCAGACUACUGGGUCCCAGGAUUAAGCACCGCACUGCACGGAGCCAUGCACUGAGUGUGGAGCAAAUGGUUUGUGUGGCCUUGCGCCUUUUUGCUAGUGGAGCCUUCCUGUACUCAGUGGGGGAUGCAGAACAGCUGAACAAGGCCACAAUUUGCCGCACAAUAAGGAGUGUGUGUCUGGCUAUCAAAGCAUUAGCAGAUGUCUUCAUCUCCUUCCCUGGCCACAGAAGACUCUGUGACAUCAAAGAGGAGUUCUAUAGGAUUGCAGAUGGUCUGCAAUGCUGACUGUGUGAUCAGCAAUGUUGUGGCAAAAUGGCCUGGCUCAGUCCAUGACUCCAGAAUCUUUCGGGCCUCUGAAAUCUCUCAGUGCCUAUCACAAGGUGAAUUCUCUGGUGUGUUGCUGGGAGACAGGGGGUAUGGCUGCCAGCCUUUUCUCCUGACACCUUUCACAGACCCCCAGGAAGCACAGCAGGCCUACAACCAUGCCCAUGCCAGGACCAGGGCCAGAGUUGAAAUGACCUUUGGCCUCCUGAAGGCACGCUUUCACUGCCUUCACAAAUUAAGGGUCAGCCCUGUUAGGGCAUGUGAUAUUACUGUGGCUUGUGCUGUCCUCCACAAUGUGGCCUGCCUGAGGAAGGAGAGGGCCCCCAGAGUGCCACCAGCCAUGGACUGGGACAAUCCGGCAAUCUUCCCUGAUGACGACAGUGGUCGGCUGCUGAGGGACCAAUAUGUGUUGAAUUAUUUUAGUUAGUAUGUGUGCUUUCAAUUUUGGUUAAAUAUGUCCUGCGGUGGCAGAGGAAUUUGGUUUUUUUUGGGUUCGUUUUUUGACGAAUUUGGCCUCUUAUGAUGUUUGUGCGGUAUACUGUGUAAUACAAGGCUGCAGGGAGGCUACUGCAUCCAUUCAUUUGUCUGUUCAGUUGAUGUGUAUGGAUUUGUCCUGCAUUUAUUUUAGUGUGCAGACAUGCAGGGUGUGUUAUAUACAGACCUUUGAAUGUGUAUGUAUCAUUUUGUAUAAUAUGCUUGGAUUCUGUGCUUUCCAUCUUGUAGAGUCACUGACUUCUGUUUCGAAAGGAGCUGAUGGUUUACCUGCUUUGUUUUGUCCUUAUUCAAUAAAGGAACAUAAUGUUACACAUUGUGUUUUUAUAUUCAUAUGGAAUGUGUAUUUGUUUAUAUGACAGAGUACUAGGGCCACACUGAAGAAAAAGGAUGAAGUCAUAAAUUUAUGAGGCUGGUUCUUUCUGCAGAAAAGCUACAUAUUGUUUUGAUACUUAUGACAAUGUGAUACUUAAUAUUCUGGCACAUCAGCAUGUCUUUGUUUAUGAAACCAUACUGAAGUACAAUUUCACGAAAUGCCCCACAUCUGUCAUUUUAACAACUGUCCUCCUUUAAAACAACUGGUUACAA